GUGGGGAAUAUUGCACAAUGGAGGAAACUCUGAUGCAGCGACGCCGCGUGAGUGAAGAAGUAUUUCGGUAUGUAAAGCUCUAUCAGCAGGGAAGAAAAUGACGGUACCUGACUAAGAAGCACCGGCUAAAUACGUGCCAGCAGCCGCGGUAAUACGUAUGGUGCAAGCGUUAUCCGGAUUUACUGGGUGUAAAGGGAGCGUAGGUGGCAAGGCAAGCCAGAAGUGAAAACCCGGGGCUCAACCGCGGGAUUGCUUUUGGAACUGUCAUGCUAGAGUGCAGGAGGGGUGAGCGGAAUUCCUAGUGUAGCGGUGAAAUGCGUAGAUAUUAGGAGGAACACCGGAGGCGAAGGCGGCUCACUGGACUGUAACUGACACUGAGGCUCGAAAGCGUGGGGAGCAAACAGGAUUAGAUACCCGAGUAGUCC
rnacentral:rRNA from 1 species